rnacentral:rRNA from 1 species
AGCGAACGCUGGCGGCAGGCCUAACACAUGCAAGUCGAACGAAGUCUUCGGACUUAGUGGCGGACGGGUGAGUAACACGUGGGAACGUACCUUUUGGUUCGGAACAACUCAGGGAAACUUGAGCUAAUACCGGAUGAGCCCUUAGGGGGAAAGAUUUAUCGCCGAAAGAGCGGCCCGCGUUAGAUUAGCUAGUUGGUGAGGUAAAGGCUCACCAAGGCUACGAUCUAUAGCUGGUCUGAGAGGAUGAUCAGCCACACUGGGACUGAGACACGGCCCAGACUCCUACGGGAGGCAGCAGUGGGGAAUCUUGCGCAAUGGGCGAAAGCCUGACGCAGCCAUGCCGCGUGAAUGAUGAAGGUCUUAGGAUUGUAAAAUUCUUUUACCAGGGACGAAAGUGACGGUACCUGCAGAAAAAGCACCGGCUAACUACGUGCCAGCCGCCGCGGUAACAC